UGCUAUAAUGCAAGUCGAGCGAAUCGAUGGGAGCUUGCUCCCUGAGAUUAGCGGCGGACGGGUGAGUAACACGUGGGCAACCUGCCUAUAAGACUGGGAUAACUUCGGGAAACCGGAGCUAAUACCGGAUACGUUCUUUUCUCGCAUGAGAGAAGAUGGAAAGACGGUUUCGGCUGUCACUUAUAGAUGGGCCCGCGGCGCAUUAGCUAGUUGGUGAGGUAAUGGCUCACCAAGGCGACGAUGCGUAGCCGACCUGAGAGGGUGAUCGGCCACACUGGGACUGAGACACGGCCCAGACUCCUACGGGAGGCAGCAGUAGGGAAUCUUCCGCAAUGGACGAAAGUCUGACGGAGCAACGCCGCGUGAACGAAGAAGGCCUUCGGGUCGUAAAGUUCUGUUGUUAGGGAAGAACAAGUACCAGAGUAACUGCUGGUACCUUGACGGUACCUAACCAGAAAGCCACGGCUAACUACGUGCCAGCAGCCGCGGUAAUACGUAGGUGGCAAGCGUUGUCCGGAAUUAUUGGGCGUAAAGCGCGCGCAGGUGGUUCCUUAAGUCUGAUGUGAAAGCCCACGGCUCAACCGUGGAGGGUCAUUGGAAACUGGGGAACUUGAGUGCAGAAGAGGGAAAGUGGAAUUCCAAGUGUAGCGGUGAAAUGCGUAAGAUUUGGAGGAACACCAGUGGCGAAGGCGACUUUCUGGUCUGUAACUGACACUGAGGCGCGAAAGCGUGGGGGAGCAAACAGGAUUAAUACCCUGGUAGUCCACGCCGUAAACGAUG
rnacentral:rRNA from 2 species